rnacentral:lncRNA from 1 species
AUUGCCAUAAUUUGGAAGUAAAAGAGGUCAGUGUGCUACUUUUCCAUGCUGGACAGGAAGCAUGCAAAUGUGGGCUUCUAGACUUCUAGCAAGCUAAAACAAAAGCAAUGACAGGCUUUAUUGGGGUUAUUUAUAUGAGGCUAGAGUAUACCAUGCCAUGCCUUGCGGGAUUAUUUGGGUAAUGGGAGAUAUUCAAUAAACUUUAGAUCAGGAAGACAAAGAAGUCUUCCUGAUCUAAUAUACAGUAUCUUAGAGACAGAGAAGAACAAAUCCUUUGCAACGUACCUGGAAGUUCACUUUACAGCUUCUUUUCCUCUGAUUCUGUCAACGUCGUUGAUAGUAAACAUAGAUUCUUGCUUUUUGAAUUCUUGUUUUUCAGACGUCAGGGCUUGUCUUAGCUCUUAAGCCCAAGAAGUAGCCACUUCUGAUGUUAUCUCAAAAUUACAAUGAAAAGGGAUCUCCUCACUAACACUUCCCAAGAAAACCAGGAGCAAACUGAAACAGGAGCUGCUAAACUAAACAUGGGAGGGAACUUGGAGGAACUAGGUUUGCUCUCUGAUGGUGCCCCAUUUCCGGAAUGCUUUCUCCACUGAUUCUUGACUGGUGCUUCAGAAUGAGGUGCAACAUUUGCUUCAGCAAGUGAGAAGGCAUAACCCGAAAUGACCCAAGGCUAUCCACAGGUAGAAUUAGCUUAAACAUUUAUUCAAGUAACAACAGGGAUUAUGCUCCAGAAAAGGAUGGAACAAUGUAAAAGAAAUCAGAGGAAAAUCAAUGAAUUUCAGACAGAAUGCAAUAGAAUGAUUAAAUGAAUAAUGCAAAAUAGAACACAUUCAAAGUAUCAGAUAAAAGAUAGAAAAUGCAAAAUUAGUCACAGUUAGCCCUUUAUAUAGAUUUGGUUUUUGCAGGCAGAAGAUAAGAGGGAAAGAGACUGGGUUAUGCACAUUUUUUUUAAAGUUAAUACUCUGGCCAAAACAGCAGAUUAGGUGAGUCAUGUGAAAACCUUUUUAUCUUCUUCCACUAUUUCAUUUUUUUUUCUCUCAGGCAUAUUAUCUCAGGCUCUCUCGUUCUGGUACCUGCCUUUUGUUAAAUGCCCUAUAACAAGGAAUGCUUUAGAUUUAAUGCAUUGUACCUAAUUUUCUGAAAAGUUCACAAAUAUUCACUUGUUCUCUUAACAUGGGGCUGGCUCGAUUGAGCAAAAUGGGACAAUUAUUCAUGGAGGAAGAAGGGAAAGGAUUGAGAAUAUAUGUUUUUUAACCAGAUAGUUCAAGUUCUAGCUCUUGAUUUCAUCUCUCAGGUGGCAAUGCUGCCUUCUACUCACUGUAUUACAUGAGCACACACACUACAGGGGAAGAUAAAGAGUGUGUGAGAGAGAAACUAGAGCGAGGUUGUGGUCAAGAACAGUGAAUGUAGAAGACAAUGAAUUAGAGGUGAUGGACAGAAGAUGCUGAUGCAGUAAUAUGUUGGGAGGUGACGAGGGCAGAGGCGGAAAAUAAAUCUACCACUUCUUGGGCUGCUGGCA